GCAUAUCAAUAAGCGGAGGAAAAGAAACCAACAGGGAUUGCCUUAGUAACGGCGAAGUGAAGCGGCAAUAGCUCAAAUUUGAAAUCUGGCGCUUGCGUCCGAGUUGUAAUUUGCAGAGGAUGAUUUUGGUUAGGUACCUUCCGAGUUCCUUGGAACAGGACGCCUUAGAGGGUGAGAGCCCCGUACGGUUGGAUGCCGAGCCUUUGUAAAUCUCCUUCGACGAGUCGAGUAGUUUGGGAAUGCUGCUCUAAAUGGGAGGUAAAUUUCUUCUAAAGCUAAAUACCGGCCAGAGACCGAUAGCGCACAAGUAGAGUGAUCGAAAGAUGAAAAGCACUUUGAAAAGAGGGUUAAAUAGCACGUGAAAUUGUUGAAAGGGAAGGAUUUAUGACCAGACUUUUUCUAGGAGGAUCAUCCGGUGUUCUCACCGGUGCACUUCUUCUAGUCUAGGCCAGCAUCGACUUUCGGCGGUGGAUAAAAGCUUUGGGAAUGUGACUCCUUUCGGGGAGUGUUAUAGCCUAUUGUAUAAUACACUGCUGGGGGUCGAGGUACGCGCUUCUGCAAGGAUGCUGGCGUAAUGGUUAUCAAUCACCCGUCUUGAAACACGGACCAAGGAGUCGAACAUUUGUGCAAGUGUUUGGGUGUUAAACCCUCACGCGUAAUGAAAGUGAACGGAGGUGAGAGCCCUUACGGGUGCAUCAUCGACCGAUCCUGAUGUUUUCGGAUGGAUUUGAGUAAGAGCAUAACUGUUCGGACCCGAAAGAUGGUGAACUAUGCGUGGAUAGGGUGAAGCCAGAGGAAACUCUGGUGGAGGCUCGCAGCGGUUCUGACGUGCAAAUCGAUCGUCAAAUCUGCGCAUGGGGGGCGAAAGACUAAUCGAACCAUCUAGUAGCUGGUUACCGCGA
rnacentral:rRNA from 1 species